GCAGCCGCUGCCUGCCUCCGCCGCCCCGCCUCCGCGCCGCAGCCACCGCCUGCCUCCGCGCCGCGCCUCCGCCUUCCCCAACCCGUCUCCCCCGAGCUCCGAUCCGGCAUCGCGCGUAGGGGAGGAGGACCGGUCGGCUCGCCGCCAUGCUGAGCUCCCCAAGGUCUUCUUCGCCUCCUCGACCCCCUCCUCGCGCCGCGCGGGGGCACUGCGCCGGCUGCUCUCCUCGCCGGCCUUCUCCGCGGCCUGCCCCCUCUUCGGCCUCGUCGGCUUCCUCACCGCCGACCUCACCCCCUCCACCUCCCUGUCCGCCGCGCGUAGCUGCUGCCCGGACUCCUCCCGCCUGCUCUCUGUCUCCGUCGCAUGGGACCGCCGCCCCGGGGAUGUCUCCGGCACGGGCUCCGCGGAGAUCCCGGUCCACCUCGCCACCGAAUCGCGCGGCCGGCACAAGGUCAUGGCCUUCGUUGGGAUCUUGACCGGGUUCAGCAGUCCUCAAACUUCAUGGCCGCCUUGUUCACUAGUUGAGGGGUCGCUUGAAAUAACUGUCCGCUUGCUCCUGCAGCGGAGUACAUGAGCUUGCCGGCGAGCCAGUACUCGGUGCUAGACGCGGAGCGCAUCGAGCACGCCGACGACUCCACCUUCCGAUGCUACGUAUACCGCUUCCGCUUCUUCGCGCUCGAGGUCUGCCCCGUCCUCCUUGUCCGCGUCGACGAGGAACCCAACAGGCAACGGCUGCUGCAUUCGCCUCCUCUCCUGUAAGGUACCAUUCAGCAAAUACAGCUUCCAUGGUGAAUAGGGUUUUCUGCAGCAGCACUAAACAAGAUUCAGCUAUUCAACAGCUUACAUCAGAUACUACAAUAGAGUGUCGCUGCAGGUUUGCAUCAUUAUGAACUAUUGAAAAUUGGCAAACUUUAUGCUGGCAAGGAAACCACCAUCCAUUUUUCUCCUUUCUAUCCCAUGCAGUGAAACAGGUACAAGUUUCCUCUUAUCUUCUUAUCUUACAUUACCUAGCAAGCAGUUCCAGAUUAUUUUAUUUUAUGUGCUAGCUUCUCGACGCAUAACAGCAUCAAUAUAGAACUUAACUUUUAGUUCUGCCC